rnacentral:antisense_RNA from 1 species
AAUAAUGGUGGGCUGAUCGGGGCAGCUUCGGCUGGCCGUUCCCUGUGCAGCGGUAGGACCAACCUCGGUCAGCUCACCACCCAA